CUUUUUCAUCUUCAUCCUCCUUGUGAAACUAUUCAGUGUUUUGCUCUUCCUUAAUCCAUCCAUCCUAUUAUUCCCAUGAAACAUAAAUAAUUUGACAUCAAAUCCUUUAGGUUAUGAGUGUUGAAAGAAUCAUGCACACUCUGGAGGAUACAACAGGCAUAGAAGCCAAACAUCCAUGGUCUGCCCAUGCUUCUUUUAUGAUAAAUGUAACCAGCAGCAAUGCAGGGAAUGGGAGAAUGCUGAGUGUAUAUGAAGAUUGGGGACGGAGUUUAUUUGCCUAUUCUUGCUGUUUUAAAGGCGUUGAUAAAGCUAGCCGCAAGGACUGAGUUAGAAGCUUUUAUGGGAAGGGACCAAUAAAUCAGUCCAUGAAGCUAGGAAUCCAUAAGGGGAGCGACUCACCUCCAAUUGAGUUAGCUCUCGGAAGUUUCACAUAAGCUUUUAAAGAAAUUAUAAUAAAAGUAAUAGUUCUUUUAACUACUUUCAAAAGAUUUAUAACAAAUUAUUGUGGUUGUAAUGCUUUGUAAAAAGUUCAUAAAGUUGAGCUAUUCAACAAACAUACUUAUGUGAGUGGCCAAUAAAUAUUUGUAGUCAAUGGACAAUAAAGUUUUGACUUCUAAUUUUUGGAAUA